rnacentral:rRNA from 1 species
GACGAACGCUGGCGGCGUGCCUAAUACAUGCAAGUAGGACGCAGUUGCGAACGGGUGAGUAACUCGUAGGUAACUACCUAUUAGAGGGGGAUAACUCUUGGAAACGAUAGCUAAUACCUCAUACUAGUAGAUGGACCUGCGUUGUAUUAGCUAUUAGGUAGGGUAAAGGCCUACCGAGGCAACGAUACAUAGCCGACCUGAGGGGGUUAUCGGCCAACCUGGGACUGAGACACGGCCCAGACUCCUACGGGAGGCUGCAGUAGGGAAUCUUCGGCAAUGGGGGGAACCCUGACCGAGCAACGCCGCGUGAGUGAAGAAGGUGUUCGGAUCGUAAAGCUCUGUUGUUAAGGAAGCGGUACUUAACCAGAAAGGGACGGCUAACGACGUGCCAGCCGCCGCGGUAAUAC